UACGGCGGGUGCGAGCGUUAAUCGGAAUCACUGGGCGUGAAGCGCACGUAGGCGGCUGUGUAAGUCAGAUGUGAAAUCCCCGGACUUAACCUGGGAACUGCAUUUGAUACUGCGCAGCUCGAGUCUGAUAGAGGGGGGUGGAAUUCCAGGUGCAGCGGUGAAAUGCGUAGAUAUCUGGAGGAACGCCAGUGGCGAAGGCGGCCCCCUGGAUCAAGACUGACGCUGAGGUGCGAAAGCGUGGGGGGCAAACAGG
rnacentral:rRNA from 1 species